rnacentral:rRNA from 1 species
UACAGAGGGUGCAAGCGUUAAUCGGAGUUACUGGGCGUAAAGGGCGCGUAGGCGGUUAUAUGAGUGAGAUGUGAAAACCCUGGGCUUAACCUAGGAAUGGCAUCUUAUACUGUAUAGCUGGAGUACUGUAGAGGGUAGUGGAAUUUCCGGGUGUAGCGGUGAAAUGCGUAGAGAUCGGAAGGAACACCCGUGGCGAAGGCGGCUACCUGGACAGAUACGUGACGCUGAGGCGCGAAAGCGUGGGGAGCAAACAGG